rnacentral:rRNA from 1 species
GUGCCAGCCGCCGCGGUAAUACCGGCAGCCCGAGUGAUGGCCGAUAUUAUUGGGCCUAAAGCGUCCGUAGCUGGCCGAACAAGUCCGUCGGGAAAUCCACCCGCCCAACGGGUGGGCGUCCGGUAGAAACUGGCCGGCUUGGAACCGGAAGGCUCAGAGAGUACGUCCGGGGUAGGAGUGAAAUCCCGUAAUCCCGGACGGACUACCGAUGGCGAAAGCACGUCGCGAAGACGGAUCCGACAGUGAGGGACGAAAGCUAGGGUCUCGAACCGGAUUAGAAACCCCUGUAGUCC